AUUGAUUUAACUUCGUCACCGAUUCAAAUUAAAACGCAAGACAAAUUUUAUUUGGUAGAUAGGUACGAAUUCGAUUGAUCGGUUUAGAUACAUUUUAAUCUCUCGGACUGAAUUUGUUAUUCACUCCGCCCCUGACAUUGAGUCGGGAAAAUUUCUGUUCGAGAUCUACAAGAAAGAUUUAAAUCCUACGAAAUUCUCUGCGCACGAAUACAACUAAUACUUGACAGGUUUUUAAGUAAUGAUAAUUU